rnacentral:rRNA from 1 species
GACGAACGCUGGCGGCGUGCUUAACACAUGCAAGUCGAACGGUGAUGCUCCAGCUUGCUGGAGUGGAUCAGUGGCGAACGGGUGAGUAACACGUGAGCAACCUGCCCCAGACUCUGGAAUAAGCGCUGGAAACGGCGUCUAAUACUGGAUACGAAACUGGCCCGCAUGGGCAUGGUUUGGAAAGUUUUUCGGUUUGGGAUGGGCUCGCGGCCUAUCAGCUUGUUGGUGAGGUAAUGGCUCACCAAGGCGACGACGGGUAGCCGGCCUGAGAGGGCGACCGGCCAAACUGGGACUGAGACACGGCCCAGACUCCUACGGGAGGCAGCAGUGGGGAAUAUUGCACAAUGGGCGAAAGCCUGAUGCAGCGACGCCGCGUGAGGGAUGACGGCCUUCGGGUUGUAAACCUCUUUCAGCAGGGAAGAAGCGAAAGUGACGGUACCUGCAGAAGAAGCACCGGCUAACUACGUG